rnacentral:rRNA from 1 species
UACGAAGGGGGCUAGCGUUGUUCGGAAUCACUGGGCGUAAAGCGCACGUAGGCGGAUCUUUAAGUCAGGGGUGAAAUCCCGAGGCUCAACCUCGGAACUGCCUUUGAUACUGGGGAUCUCGAGUCCGGGAGAGGUGAGUGGAACUGCGAGUGUAGAGGUGAAAUUCGUAGAUAUUCGCAAGAACACCAGUGGCGAAGACGGCUCACUGGCCCGGAACUGACGCUGAGGUGCGAAAGCGUGGGGAGCAAACAGG